GUUUAACCAAAAUCCUCCCCACGAUCUCCCUCUUCUCUCUAUUUUCCGGAAAAAACCCCAGCCCCAUUCGGAUAACCACCCGAACUCCUCUCCGUGACUCCGUCUCCCUCUAAUUCGCAUGCCCCUCCCAAUUCGCGAAAACCCUAGGUGCCCCGUCUCCUGGGCAGUUGGCGAAAACCCCCUGGCUUCGUCUCUCCCAGUUUGCAAGAAGGGCGAAACCGAAACCCCCAUCCUCUCUUCUCUCUCCUGCCCGAGUAGAGCUAGCCGCCAGCCCCCAUUCGCAAGAAGGUCGAACUCCCCUUUCUUCUUCCUUGAUCUCUUGCGUGAGAAGCUCCAGACGGGAUUCCCAUCCUCCAUCUCCCUUGCUCGCAUGGACAGCAGACCAAGCCCUUCCCUGCACUAACAAUGCCCGUUUACAGAAUCGAAACCCCUAGGAAGCUUUAGCCUUGCUCCCGUCUUCCUCUAGUUGAUGAGGAACUUCAUUGCUACGUACGAAGGAUGUGUGCUGCUUCUGUUUCAAGAAGUGAAGGUUAUUUUCCGGAUUAAAGAUUUAUUUUUUGUUUGUAAAUAUCUGGAAGAAGAUCCGGCUAGUGCUUAUUGUUCCUUUGUUGGAAAAGUUCAUUCUUUUCCCAGCUAUGUGCUCAACAACUAGAGUGUGGUUGCCUACAAGUGAAACUUUAUAACUUGCUACAUUAGAUCAAUAUAAUUCGAAUUCCUAAAAUUUACUUGUCAGUUGGAAAGGAAAACAUCAAAGACUUACGCUUUCAUCGCCAAAGAAUGUUUCCCACUAAAAUGCAAGAGGCAAUUAAGUGAGAUAGAAAAGUAGUUGCAGAUUCAAUGUUGUAGCAAGUUGCUGGAAAUGUCAGUGUGGUUUUGAAGAGGUUGGUAGUUCCAUCGGUUGUAUUAUUUACAUUUCAGAUCUUUUUGUUUUGUUUUGUUUUUUAGAAGUGUUCUAUGAUUGAACUUACAGCCAAAAAUGACUUCUAGUGAAGUUCUUUCUAUUUCUGAAUGUGAGAUUUUGCACUA